rnacentral:tRNA from 4 species
GCCGGGAUGGCGGAAUUGGUAGACGCACGGGACUCAAAAUCCCGCGACUGUGAGGUCAUGGGGGUUCGAUUCCCCCUCCCGGCACCA